CCCUUUUUUAAAUAUGUCAAAGUUGUGCGUUGUCAGAAAGAUUUCUAAUUCGGAAUAUUUUUAAUCUAUCGGCAAAAAAAGUAAAAAUGUCACAACUACGAGUAAAUCGAAUUAAACGAUAUUUUUUAAAUGUUUUUUCGUGAAAUCAUUCAAACAAUAAUUUUUAUUUUUUUUAAUGAAAUUGUAUCAUUUGCAUACCAUUUUCUCGCGGUAGUUUUCGAAAACGAGUAGAAUCGCACUAUUAACGAAUUGUGUAUACAUAUUAUAAUAUAUUUGUUUGCAUCCCCAACAGCAAUAAUUCCGAUACCGAAAAUAUCGUGACGGCAUUUUUCGCUACGGCGACAGGUCGAACAGGGCGAUGUGGGAGAGAACUCGCGAGAGGAAUAUUAUUACUACUAUAUUUAUGUACAAGCCAGAGGUCAUUGCUAAUACGCGAUUUUUUUUUGUUUUAUCUUGCCAUCAUACCAUAGUUGGACAGGUUAGAUAUUAUACGCGACGGUUGUUUU